GGGCCGUUAGCUCAGUCGGUAGAGCAGCUGGCUUUUAACCAGUUGGUCGGUGGUUCGAGUCCACCACGGCCCACCA
rnacentral:tRNA from 2 species